rnacentral:rRNA from 1 species
AAGGUUAGGUUUUGAUUAAGGAAUUAAUUAAUUAUUUUUUAAAAAAGGCAUUUAAAGUAAAAAAUUGGUAAAAAUUAUAUAAAAAGGACGAGACGUUUCGAAAAUUAUGGUAAGGUUCAGACUUGUGACUCAUAAGUUUCCUAGUUAAAAAACAAAAUUUUUUAUUUAUUGUGAAUUGAAACAUCUUAGUAACAAUUAAAAUAAAUCAACCGAAAGAUUAUUAGUAACGGCGAGUGAACGUAAAGUUUAAGUAAAAAACCAUUAAUAAAAUUUUUAAGAAAUUUAUUUUACAAAAAAAGGUUUUUAGUCCUGUAAAAAAGAAUUAUUAAUGAUGUAAGGUAAGUAUGGUGAAAAAUAUAUCACAGGAAAAAAGGAGUACCACCUUCUAAACUUAAAAAUAUAAUUUAAUCGAUAGAAAACGAGUAUUGUAAAAUAAAUUUGAAAAAAUUUGAAAAAAUUUGAAAAAAUUUGAAUGUCUAAAUUAUUUACUUGAAGUAAAAAUAUACAACAAGAUGCUUUUUGCAGAACGAGUCAGUAAGUUAAGAGUUAUAGCAAAAAUUAUUAAAUAAAAAAAAUUAUAAAAGUUAUAGCUAUUAGACCUGAAACCAAGUGAUCUAAUUAUGAGUAAGUUGCUUUUAAUAUAAUAAUUAAUUAAAGACUGAACUUUUACAUGUGGCAAAAUGUAAAGAUAAUUUGUAAUUAGGAGUGAAAGGCUAAUCAAACUUGGUUAUAGCCGGUUUUUCACGAAAUGUAUUUUAGUACAGCAUCAUUUAAUGUUUUAUUAAUGUAAAGUAAAAAAUUUUUCAAGUAAAUUUUUAACUUAAAAAUUAAUAAUUUUUCUUAAGGAAUAAUGAUAGUCAGUCGUAAAGCGAAAAGGUUUUAUGACAAAAGGAAAACAAUCCAGAUCGUGUGUUAAGGUAUUAAAUUAUACAUAAUGAAAAAGGUUUUAAAAUAUUUAAAUAUUUUAAAUAGGCUUAGAAGCAGUUUUUUAUUUGAGAAAGCGUUUUAGCUCAUUGUUUUUUUUAUAAAACUAAAAAUUUUAGAUAUAAAUGUAUAAACCGAUACAGCGAAUAUAUGUAAUAAAUAUAUGGUAGUGAAACGUUUUGUUAGUUAUUAAAAAAAGAGUAAUCAUUAUAAUAGAUAAUACAAAAAAGCGAAUGCUGACAUGAGUAACGAAAAUUAUGUUAAAAAUCAUAAUCAUAAAAAAAUAGGUUUUCAAUGUACUUUAAAAUUCAUUGAGUGAGUCGGUUCUUAAAAUUUUUUACUAAAUAGUUAUUUUGAUAGAUAAUAAAUUAAAAUUAAUUUUAUACUAAUUGUAUGUUAAUUAACAUAAAAAAGAAGAUUGUUAAUUUUUUAAAAUGUUAUAAAUAAAUUAAGAAUUAAACAAAAUUCUCAAGAAAAAAGCAAGUAAAAUAAACCGUACUAAAUCCGACGCAGGUUUUUUUAUAUGAGUGAAAAAAUUAUAUUAAAGGAACUUGGCAAAUUAAUCUCGUAUGUUAGCUAAAAGAGAUGUCUAUGAAAAUUUUAUUAAUAAAAAGUAGAUAACAUAAACAAAAAAGCAACGACUGGUUACCAAAACCACAGGACUCUGCCAAUUAUAAAAAGAUGUAUAGAGUUUGAAGCCUGCCCAGUACUUAAAAAUGAAAUAUAAAGAUUAAAAAACUUAAUAAUAAGUUUAAGUAAACGGCGGUUCUAACUAUAAGAAUCCUCAGGUAGCGAAAUUCCUUGGCGGGUAAAUUCCGUCCUGCAUGAAUGGCUUAACGAUUGCUUUACUGUCUCUAAUAUAAAUUCAGUGAAAUUACAAUAUUCAUGAAAAUGUGAAUUUUUUACAAUAAGACGGAAAGACCCUAGAUCCUUUACUUUUAUUUUAUAUUGUGAGUAGAUUUAUUAUUUAAGUAGAAUAAAUGGGAGUAAAAAACUUUUUUGAAAUACCAUUUUAUGAUGUUUAUAACUAACUUAAAUUUUUUUAAAGAAAGUGUAAAAAAGAAAGUUUACUUGGGAUGAGUACCUCCUAAAAAGUAACGGAGGUGUGCAAAAGUAAAAAUCAAAAAGAAGCGUAAUAGUUAAUUUUUGCUUGAUAAUAAAAUUAAUAAAUUAAAUUAGGACGAAAGUCAGUUAUAAUGACCCGAAUUUAAGAGUGGAAUUAAAUUCGUUUAGCAAAUAAAAGGAACUCUAGGGAUAACAGAUUCAUCAUGAUUAAAAGUUCGUAUUGAAAUCAUGGUUUGAUACCUCGAUGUCGACUCAUCUUAUCCUGAAAUUGAAAUUAAUUUCAAGGGUCUAGUUGUUCGCUAGUUAAAAAGGUACGUGAGUUGGGUUCAGAACGUCGUGAGACAGUUCGGUCCCUAUCUAUUGUAAAUUAAAAGAAUUAAAAGAAUUAUUUUUAGUACGAGAGGACCAAAAUAUAUUAACCACUGGUAAAUUGAUUAAAAUUAUUAUUAUUUUAUGUCAAGUAGCUACGUUAGUUUAAUUUAAAUACUGAAAGAAUCAAUAGUAUAAAAAAAACUUUUAAAUUUUUUUGAGCAUUCUUUUCGAAAAAAAGAUAGAUCGAUCUAAUUUUAAUUUUUAGUAAUAAAACAAUUAUAGAUACGAAUUAGUCAGAAAAAUUAAUUAACUUAAUCAA